rnacentral:rRNA from 1 species
AGUGAACGCUGGCGGUAGGCCUAACACAUGCAAGUCGAACGGCAGCACAGUAAGAGCUUGCUCUUACGGGUGGCGAGUGGCGGACGGGUGAGGAAUACAUCGGAAUCUACUUUUUCGUGGGGGAUAACGUAGGGAAACUUACGCUAAUACCGCAUACGACCUACGGGUGAAAGCAGGGGAUCUUCGGACCUUGCGCGAUUGAAUGAGCCGAUGUCGGAUUAGCUAGUUGGCGGGGUAAAGGCCCACCAAGGCGACGAUCCGUAGCUGGUCUGAGAGGAUGACCAGCAAACUGGAAACUGAGCACCGUCCCAGCUCCUUCGGGGAGGCAGAGGGGGGAAAUAUUGGCAAUGGGGCGCAAGCUUGACCAAGCCAUCCCGCGUGGGUGAAGAAGGCUUCCGGGUGUUAAAGCCUUUUUGUGGGGAAGAAAAGCAAGCAGGUAAAUCCCCGCUGUUCUGGCGGUACCCAAAAAAAUAGGCACGGCUAACUUCGGU